rnacentral:lncRNA from 1 species
CAGUUUCAAGAGGAAAAGUUAAAUAAAUUGCAGAAGUUACUUAUUCUUUUAAGAGGUCUGCCUGGUUCUGGGAAAACAACAUUGUCUCGGUAAGUAAAGGAUACCAACUGAAUACUUGGUAAUUCAUUAUUUAAAAAUUAUAAAUGAUAUUUGUCGCCGGCUGCAGUGACUCAUGCAUGUAAUCCCAACACUUUGGGAGGCCAGGGUGGACCAGUCACUUGAGCUCAGGAGUUUGAGACCAGCCUGGGCAACAUAGUGAGACCCUGUCUCUAAAAAAUGAAAUAAAAAUGUUAGAACUAUAAUGAUACUUGUAAUCACUGACAAGUGCUUUUAUGUUUCUAGUAGAAGAAAAUCUUUAAUUUGCUACACUUGAGAAUAGCAUCUGACAGUGUAACUAUUUAAAAAUCUUUUCUGAUAGAAGAAAGGAGAAUUGGCAUAUGUUUAUAUUUAGAUUCUGCUAAGGGCUUUAAAAAUAGAUAACACUACGUAUAAUUAUGGCAGUGAUGAAAGCAAAUGCUACUUGAGAACUGUCCUGGCCUACCCUUUUGAGUCAGCUGUUCAAGGAAAGUUGGACUCAGUGUUAGAAAAUUUGAGUUUUUCAAGUUCAGUUGGAGGUGAGAAAAAGAGAAAAUUUGGGUAUUGACUCAGUUAUUUCCCUUUUUCACCUUGGGCAAGUUUUGCUCUCUGUUAAUGGAAUAAAUGAUACUUACUUUUUCUGGAAUUGGGAAUCAAAUGAGAUGACCCAAGGAAAGGAAUUUUGAAUGUGUUGAGCACUGUGCCAUGUUCAUACCAUUGAUUGGCAGAAGGAACCCUUUUUUGAUUUCUUAAAAUUCAGGAGUUUGAAGUGAGUAAUAUCUGAAUUGGUGUUAGAACUGUUGGUGGUUUAUUGUAUUACAAGAUAUUUCAAAUUCCUUUUUUUGUUUACAUUUUUAAACUAUUGAUGCACUUGAAUAUGUUUAUGCAGUUGUGAAAAAAUAGUGUAAAGAAAGCAGUACAAAUUAUCUUGAGUUUAUAUAAGAUGAUUCAAGAUUUGUGCCGGACAAGGAGAAAAAGAAAAUUUGUUGAUAUCUUUGGGUGAGGAUGGAGAGGUCCAAGAAACCAUUUUGCAAAUGUUUUAUAUUACUAACAAGACAAUCUAAACCUAAAUAAACAUCUUUUUCAGAGAAAAGACACUAGAGAAAGAUUUAAUUUGUGAUAUUUCAAGCUAGAUUAUAAACUGUGAUCUUUGUGAAUGAAUUAAUUCAUUCCAGAAUUAAAUUUUGGUCUUUGUAUUUUGAUUCCUUUUACUUUAGUGAGGAUUUUGUAGAGAAGAUGAAAUUUCACCUCUAUAAUAAUAGAAGUUAGGAGUGAGGUCUCACAAACAUGGGCUGUCUUCUAGAUUUGGGAUAUACCAUCAGAGACAAUAAAUAACUGAAAUUUGGAAACUGGAUAAAAGAGUCUGCUAGUUAGGACCACUUGACUAAGAGUGGGUAUAGAAGAAACCUAAGGAAGAAAAGUUAGAUUUGAGACAACAUAUUGGAGUAUGUUGAAAUUAAAGGUGAAUAAAGUAGUGGAAAUUCGAUAGAAUUUAAAGGAGACAUUGUAGUGGGAGAUGGUAGAGGUGAUUAGAUAUAAUAUGUAUAUUUAUUUGAAAAAUAGAUAUAUAAGAAUGAAAGUUGUAUGUAGUACCAACAAGUACCAUUCGUAUUAUGAUUCACAAUUUACAGAGUAUUUUCAUAUAUAAAAAUCUUGUGCAAUGGGUUGUUUUUUCAUUUUAUAGAAGGAGCAGAGGCUAAAGGAAGUUGAGGUUAAGUGAUUUGGAAGUUACAAAAACUAGUAAGAGCUCAAACUAGCAAUAAAAUUAUAGUAUGUUUUUCCCUUGCCUUCACUGUAAUGCUUAAUGGUUGUGUAGUCUUAUACGUGACUCCUGACUUCAAGGAUCCUGGUCUGUACCUCUUUAGGUCAACACGUUUUGAGUGAACUGGUGUUGGUUAUUUGGAAUUAGAUAUAAAGUCAUAUAUUCUUUGGUGAGGAAUGGCUUCAUAUAGGAGUUCACAUUCAAAACAAGCUUUGACAAAAUAAUAGAGUGAAAAUUGGUAGAUCAGAGUUGAGCUGAUUGGAGGACCAAAUUAAAAGACUGGCUGGGCAUGAUGGCUCACACCUGAAAACCCAGCACUUUGGGAGGCCAAGGCAGGCAGAUUGUUUGAGCCCAGGAAUUCAAGACCAGCCUAGAUAACCUGGGUAUCCCAGCUACUUGGGAGGCUGAGCUGCCGAGGCUACAGUGAGCCAUGAUCGUGCCAUUGCUUUCUAGCCUGGGUGACAGAUUGAGACCCU